GGCGGGGUCGGGGCCGCGCCAGGUGCGCUGCGGAACGCGCGGAGGGUGAGGGAAGGGUGCAGAAGCGACAGCGGCGGCUGUGAGAAGGCAGAAGAAAGAGUUCCAGUGGCAGGAAGUUUAGUCUCUUUUGACAAGAAGGGAAACACAGACCUCCUAAUUAACAGUGCAGUUAAGGAAGGGUGAGCAGCUUGUUGCCAAACAUAACCCCAGGGAAAACUGUAACUGCUGUAAUCAAGGGAGUUAUUUACCCAGUCAAUAAAAACAGACUGAAACAAA